GGAUGUAGCGCAGUUUGGUAGCGCACUUGCUUUGGGAGCAAGGGGUCGCAGGUUCAAAUCCUGUCAUCC
rnacentral:tRNA from 1 species